AAUUUACCCAGACAUGGAUUAUCUAAUUGGAGCAGUAGUAACGAUUCAGGGAUGAAAGUCAACGGAAGGAAGUGAAAUGAUCGGUAUUGUCUCCCGGAAGUCAUCCAGGCAACCAAAUGACAAUUAGCGUGCAAGUCGAGGCAAACAAUCGAUAGAUGCAUUUUACGAGAUGUUAUUAAUAACAAUUCUGGUUCGUAAUAUGUCACUAUACAUAGGUCUUCAUGGAUGUCAACUGUGCCAGGAUAUGUUUUCUAUACUAUACUAUGUGAAGAUGACUGUAUGAAACAGUUUUGUGUACAGUACAGUAAAGACAAAGAAGUAAGCUGGAUUUGCUCUUGGGUGGUGGGGAAAGGGGGUGCGAAACAGCCUUGGGGGUGUAAAAAUUGAUAGCGUGUAACUAAACCCCUUAAUGGUCAUUUUUAGUAUUUUUGCCGUAAUGUAAUGGGUGUGUUUAAAUGUUUUAGUGUCACUCUCCCCCUACCCCACACCCAUGUUAAAGAUCCCAUAAAGUUUGUUCAGAUUGUAUGGUAUAACUGGUGCUACUUAUUUACUUGUCACAUUGUAAAAAUUUAAAUAGAGGGGCGGGUUUACUUUUUGUAAAAUCAUGAUCGUAAAAACAUGUGAAAACUGCGCGAUUUUGACAAAAAAGUGAUUUUCAUUUGAUCUCUUAAACUGAAAAAAAAACUUUUUUGAAAUAAAAAAAAAAGCCUGCUCCUAAUUUUCUGGAUUUUAUGCGGAUGAUGACGGCAAACAAACAAGUUUUUUUUAGGCCUAAUAUGCUGAUGAGUUUAUAAUGUCACAGUUAAUUUUAACUGAAAUCUAAUGUUUUAUGCUUUAAAUAUCUUUUAUUGUAAUAUUUAAAUGUAAUUUGUUAUCUACUUUAUCCAUGGUUUAUCAAAGUUGCAAUUGCAUUUUGUAAUUGAUAGUUGGAUAGUAAUGAUCUAUUUUAAAAAUUAUUAUUGCGAGGUCAUUUUUUUUCUUUAUUGAUGUUUGUAGUAGUACAGUAUUCAAUUUCAAAUGUCUUGAUAAUGGUUGAUAUGGCAAAAACAUGUAUAAUUCUUACUUAACUUUGUUUUUCAGUUAAGCUUUGUGCAGCCAUAUACAAUUUCCUAUGAACUUUUGAAUGAACAGAUAGAGAAAAUAUAUAGUAUUAUAUAAUUAUGAUCAAGGAAUGUUAAUUUAUAUUAUUUGUGUUCCUAUAUAAUGAAAAUGCUGUGACAAACAACUAAUGGGAUUUGAUCCAUCUAAAUUAUGUAACUUUUAAAUUAAGUAUACAUCUUAUAUAUGACCAUGCCAUAAGUUUGCAAUUCGUAAUGUAUUUGUUCCAUUGUUGAUUGAACUGGCUUCAUCCAAUUUUACAGUUAUCAUCCUUGAAAAUUAAAUCUGUAUUCUGUGUAAUUAAAAGUUGUACACAGCAUAAAUUACUGUAUGUCAAAA